UGGGGAAUUUUGGACAAUGGGCGAAAGCCUGAUCCAGCAAUGCCGCGUGUGUGAAGAAGGCCUUCGGGUUGUAAAGCACUUUUGUCCGGAAAGAAAUCCUUGGCUCUAAUACAGUCGGGGGAUGACGGUACCGGAAGAAUAAGCACCGGCUAACUACGUGCCAGCAGCCGCGGUAAUACGUAGGGUGCAAGCGUUAAUCGGAAUUACUGGGCGUAAAGCGUGCGCAGGCGGUUUGCUAAGACCGAUGUGAAAUCCCCGGGCUCAACCUGGGAACUGCAUUGGUGACUGGCAGGCUAGAGUAUGGCAGAGGGGGGUAGAAUUCCACGUGUAGCAGUGAAAUGCGUAGAGAUGUGGAGGAAUACCGAUGGCGAAGGCAGCCCCCUGGGCCAAUACUGACGCUCAUGCACGAAAGCGUGGGGAGCAAACAGGAUUAGUACCCUGGUUAGUCCCACGCCCUAAACGAUGUCAACUAGUUGUUGGGGAUUCAUUUCCUUAGUAACGUAGCUAACGCGUGAAGUUGACCGCCUGGGGAGUAC
rnacentral:rRNA from 1 species